CAGUCGCCACGGUAAUGCGAAGGGUGCAAGCGUUAAUCGGAAUUACUGGGCGUAAAGCGUGCGUAGGCGGUGAGUUAAGUCUGCUGUGAAAUCCCCGGGCUCAACCUGGGAAUGGCAGUGGAUACUGGCAAGCUAGAGUGUGUCAGAGGAUGGUGGAAUUCCCGGUGUAGCGGUGAAAUGCGUAGAGAUCGGGAGGAACAUCAGUGGCGAAGGCGGCCAUCUGGGACAACACUGACGCUGAGGCACGAAAGCGUGGGGAGCAAACAGGAUUAGAUACCCCGGUAGUCCCUGUCUCUUAUAC
rnacentral:rRNA from 1 species